rnacentral:rRNA from 1 species
UACGGAGGAUGCAAGCGUUAUCCGGAAUGAUUGGGCGUAAAGCGUCCGCAGGUGGCUGUGUAAGUCUGCUGUCAAAGAGCGAAGCUCAACUUCGUAAAGGCAGUGGAAACUACACGGCUAGAGUGCGUUCGGGGCAGAGGGAAUUCCUGGUGUAGCGGUGAAAUGCGUAGAGACCGGGAAGAACACCAGUGGCGAAGGCGGCUACCUGGACAGGUACUGACGCUGCAGCGCGAAAGCUAGGGGAGCAAACAGG